AGGUAUCCUGCACAACAGAAGGCUUAGAACAGAGCCCUUCCUCAGGGUAGAAAUCACCCAUUAUGGGGAGAGAUGCUGGGCAGCCUCCGUGUUCGGAGGCAGUGCUGGUGGCAGACAGCUGUGGUCCGUAAUUCUACAAAGGGUGGCUUGGUGUUAGCAAAAGCUCCAAGUGGCUUAAUCAUGCUUUGCUCCCCCAUCGUUAGCACAGGAACCACUGCCUCAGACUCUGCUGUCAUGGUAACAGGGUGACAGCUGCCAUUUUAGUUGUCGUUUGAGAUUUAGCCCAGGAACAUUUUGGAACUUAAAACCAGAAGUCUCUGCAUCUUGAGCUGAAAAGAAAGUGUCGGUAGGCAAGAGAGAAAUAGUUUUGUAUCCCUUCGGUAGACUGGGCAGCUGAGACAGCGUUCCCAAGAAUGGUUGUAGCCCCAGUCUAAGAGGAACAGCUACACAGUGGAGGAACAGCUACAACAUGGCAGUGCUCAUCCCCAUGCUUAUAAGCACUGUGUUAAGGGAAUCAGGAAGGCGAAGGCGAGGCAUGCACACUUAUUUCCACAAUUUCUAAGAGGAAGUAGUACAAGGAGAGGAGAACAAGGAGAAGUAGAAGGAAGAAGAUGAUUUGGAGAAGCACAUUUUGAACAUCAAAGCAGUGACUGUAACAAACUAAAAACAACAUUGAAGCACAGGAGGCCCAACACGUCAGUGGUAACCAUUUUGUUGUGGAUACAAAACACAGGGUUUUUGAAGUGGCAAUGGAAAGACCUUUGGAUGAAUGCUGUACAUUCCUGUUCCCUGUGGAGCCACUGGAAAUGAUGAGCGUCUUUUUAGGACUGAAUAGACCUAGACAGGCAUGGAGGCGUGGGACACUAGGGAUUAACUCAAAAGCCAAGAGGAGGUGUUGUCACUGUGGAAGAUCCAAAGAACCGAAAUCUACCAAUUAUUGCUUCAACUGCUUUUGUGCAAGACAUUUUACAGUUUCACUGACAGCGUGUGUGGCUGGCAGAUGUGACACAGCAUCCAUGGUCGCUUGGUGCCUGUCCGGAGCAGCCAGUACACAGGUUUGUGGAGCAAGCAGCUGUUCAUUUGUUUUGUCAGUAAUGGAAAGAAGACUUGAACAGCUGAUGACAGAACCAAGAAAGUGCAGAGGAAGAAGAGUAAACUGAGUCUGCUUAACACCUUUCACUAACACUGAACAUCAUGCUGUGUGGGUGACAGUCAAUGUAAAAGAAGAGCUUGAAAGCAGGUUUUAAUAAAUUCAGUUAUCACUUUC
rnacentral:lncRNA from 1 species